AGGCAUCAAAAGCAUAUAUACUACAACUGGAACAAUAUAGAGAAAGUUAGCAUGGUCUCUGAGCAAGCAUGGCAGGAAAAUGUAUUGCUCCGAAUUUUU
ensembl:snRNA U6 U6 spliceosomal RNA